GAUGAACGCUGGCGGCGUGCCUAAUACAUGCCAGUCGAGCGAACAGACGAGGAGCUUGCUCCUCUGACGUUAGCGGCGGACGGGUGAGUAACACGUGGAUAACCUACCUAUAAGACUGGGAUAACUUCGGGAAACCGGAGCUAAUACCGGAUAAUAUAUUGAACCGCAUGGUUCAAUAGUGAAAGACGGUUUUGCUGUCACUUAUAGAUGGAUCCGCGCCGCAUUAGCUAGUUGGUAAGGUAACGGCUUACCAAGGCAACGAUGCGUAGCCGACCUGAGAGGGUGAUCGGCCACACUGGAACUGAGACACGGUCCAGACUCCUACGGGAGGCAGCAGUAGGGAAUCUUCCGCAAUGGGCGAAAGCUUGACGGAGCAACGCCGCGUGAGUGAUGAAGGUCUUCGGAUCGUAAAACUCUGUUAUUAGGGAAGAACAAAUGUGUAAGUAACUAUGGACGUCUUGACGGUACCUAAUCAGAAAGCCACGGCUAACUACGUG
rnacentral:rRNA from 1 species